rnacentral:rRNA from 1 species
GAUAAACGCUGGCGGCGUGCAUGAGACAUGCAAGUCGAACGAAGGAUCGGGCUUGCUCGAUCCUUAGUGGCGGACGGCUGAGUAACGCGUAGGUGACCUACCCCGAAGUGGGGAAUAACUGCCCGAAAGGGUGGCUAAUACCGCAUGUGGUCGCACGUUCGUUCGUGCGAGUAAAGCCGCAAGGCGCUUCGGGAGGGGCCUGCGUCCGAUUAGCUCGUUGGUGGGGUAAUGGCUUACCAAGGCGACGAUCGGUAGGUGGUCUGAGAGGACGAUCACCCAGACUGGGACUGAGACACGGCCCAGACUCCUACGGGAGGCAGCAGUCGGGAAUUUUGCUCAAUGGGGGAAACCCUGAAGCAGCAACGCCGCGUGAGGGAUGAAGGCCUUCGGGUUGUAAACCUCUUUUGUCAGGGACGAUGAUGACGGUACCUGGCGAAUAAGCCACGGCUAACUACGUG